GUGUGUAGUUACAGAGGGAUGUACUUUCAUCUAUGGAAACAAUUAGAGGUGGCUGAAAGAACAGAAAAACUCAUCUCUCAGCAAAAGCAGCCAUAUGUAGCGAUUAUGUUGUUUGAAGAGAAAAUGACUAAAACUGCAUUUAAUCAGAAGAAAGGAAAAAGUAUAUCACUUAUUUUGGAGUUCAGUCUGUUGGACCUUGUACUUCUUGCUCUCAGAAGAGGUUCAACAAAUUCCUGCAAUCCUCAAGAGGUGUGCAUGUGAGAAUAAAGUGGACCAUAAUAACAGAUAACAGAACCAUAUGAGAGAGGAGAAGAAAAUGGAUGGAUGCCAGGUUUAUUUACAAGCAGUCUAAUCUCCCUAACAAGUCUCCCAAAUCAUUAAUCUGGUUCAGAAUACGAAGGAUACUCAAUUAUUCAAUGAAAAGGUUAAGUCUGUGGUAAAUAUGCAUAGUCAGUAAUGAAGUGUACUUCCCCUGGGUAUUUUUUAAAAGGAUGCAGACUGACAGUUGUUUACCACAUCCUUUCUGGAUAUGUUUUCUGAGGUUUUUGUUUGCGACACUGCUUAUGCUUAUUCUCAAAAUGCAGCUCCUUGGCUGCUUUGCUCUAUUGAAAUUGUAACUGGGUGAUAGUGAAGUAAGUCAGCCAUGAAAAUGUAUGUGUAUCCAAAUCAAGGCAAUAAUUCCCACAACAUUUUUGUGUAACUCUGAGUACCCUGCUACAUGGGAAGUGUCAGGGUACAGCCCACCUAACUUUUCUAGAUCCAGGCUUACAUCCAUCCUUCCAUCUGUCCGUCUGUCUCUUUGCUUUGAUUUUCAGUUUUUCUGCUAUAUGUUCCUUGGUAUUUUGCCCAUAGCUAUCAGUGCACACAUACAGAGGAACUUAUAACUAUGGCACUGUUGUCAUUUUUGGCUUUGGAGCUUUGAUUCAAGCUCUUUUAUAUCUUCAUUAGUGGCUGCAGGUUUGUUCUGUUAAUGAAAACAUUUGCAGAAAAACUAGGAUUGCAAACUGAUAAAUUACUUGACUAAAGAUAGCCCCUACCUUUAACCAACACUAUUUCCAUCAACGGCUUGCCUUGAGUGUUAAUUUCUAAUGCGUGAGUGGAAACAUAUCAUAUUAUGUUCCUGGAGAGGCAACACACGUGUUGCAGUGCAAGAUGAAGUUUUGUGCACAACAUCCAUAUAGCACUGGGGUCUUCCCCAGGGAAAAGCACAAUGUUCCAGUGCCCUCUUAGCCCCAGGCAGGUAUCUUGCAGAAACCAGCUCCAACAGUCAGAGCACUGCUGUGAGCUCUCAGUCAAGAGCCAACAAUUUGCAAAUGUCAAUUUUUGCUGUGCUCAGGGG